GUCCACACAGUAAACGAUGAAUACUCGCAGUUGGCGAUAUACGGUCAGCUGCCAAGUGAAAACAAUAAGUAUUCCACCUGGGGAGUACGCCGGCAACGGUGAAACUCAAAGGAAUUGACGGGGGCCCCGCACAAGCGGAGGAACAUGUGGUUUAAUUCGAUGAUACGCGAGGAACCUUACACGGGCUUGAACUCAUCAGGGCGACGCAAGAGAUUGCGUUUUCCUUCGGGACUUGAUGAGAGGUGCUGCAUGGUUGUCGU
rnacentral:rRNA from 1 species